AACGAACGCUGGCGGCAUGCCUAACACAUGCAAGUCGAACGAGAUCUUCGGGUCUAGUGGCGCACGGGUGCGUAACGCGUGGGAAUCUGCCCUUUGGUUCGGAAUAACAGUUGGAAACGACUGCUAAUACCGGAUGAUGACGAAAGUCCAAAGAUUUUUCGCCAGAGGAUGAGCCCGCGUAGGAUUAGCUAGUUGGUGUGGUAGAGGCGCACCAAGGCGACGAUCCUUAGCUGGUCUGAGAGGAUGAUCAGCCACACUGGGACUGAGACACGGCCCAGACUCCUACUGGAGGGAGCAGUGGGGAAUAUUGGACAAUGGGCGAAAGCCUGAUCCAGCAAUGCCGCGUGAGUGAUGAAGGCCUUAGGGUUGUAAAGCUCUUUUACCCGGGAUGAUAAUGACAGUACCGGGAGAAUAAGCUCCGGCCAACUCCGUGCCAGCCGCCGCCGUAA
rnacentral:rRNA from 1 species